GAGAAAUGUAUUCCUGUGUAGAUCGGUGAGCGGUGCGAGAAGGAAGUGAUUGUUUUUAAGACGUGGAAUUGCUUAAAUAAUCGAGUGCUACUGGUUGAAUUCGGACCGAGGGAUCAGAGGAUCAACUCCUCUAGUGGUAGAGAAGUAGUGAUUGAUUGAUUCCCGCAGGCAGGUGGUUGGUUGAACCUGAUCGGGUUUUGGUCUUGAGGGGCCCUUGUGGUGCAUCCUUUUCCUCGUCGUUGUCGUCGUUGUGGUCGUUGGUUGUGCUGUGCGUGCUGAAGGUGGACUUGAUCCCUGCCUUGAUCGAUCAUGGAGGACGCGUUUAUGUGCUCCUGGGAGGAGUGCUGUGAGCGAUUUCAAGUCAAAGUCGAUCGAGGUUUGUCCAAGGAACAAGUGGACCAAAAUCUCGAGAAAUACGGACACAAUGAAUUGCCGGCCGAAGAAGGCAAAUCCAUUUGGCGGUUAAUCCUGGAACAGUUCGAUGAUCUUCUAGUCAAAAUCUUGCUUCUCGCCGCCAUUAUUUCAUUCGUGUUAGCCUUCUUUGAAGAUGACGAGGACAGUAUCACGGCCUUUGUGGAGCCUUUCGUGAUUUUGCUCAUCUUGAUCGCCAAUGCGAUUGUGGGGGUGUGGCAGGAACGAAAUGCCGAAUCGGCCAUUGAAGCGCUCAAAGAAUAUGAACCCGAAAUGGGCAAGGUCAUCCGCUCCGACAAAGAUGGCGUCCAGAAGAUCCGUGCCCGUGACAUCGUGCCCGGAGACAUUGUCGAGAUCUCGGUGGGCGACAAGGCUCCCGCUGAUCUUCGCCUCAUCAAUAUCCUCUCGACCACCUUAAGAAUUGAUCAGUCCAUCCUCACUGGAGAAUCCGUGUCCGUCAUCAAACACAACGAGCCCGUCCCCGACCCUAAGUCCGUCAACCAGGACAAGAAGAACCUUGUGUUUUCGGGAACCAACGUGGCUGCCGGAAAAGCUGUUGGCAUCGUGAUUGGCACCGGCUUAAACACCGCCAUUGGUCGUAUCCGCACUGAAAUGACUCAGACGGAAGAGAUCAGAACUCCUCUGCAACAAAAGUUGGACGAAUUCGGCGAGCAAUUGUCGAAGGUGAUCACUCUGAUCUGCAUUGCCGUGUGGGCCAUCAACAUUGGACAUUUCAACGACCCUGCUCAUGGUGGAUCCUGGAUGAAGGGAGCCAUCUACUACUUCAAGAUCGCCGUGGCUUUGGCUGUGGCCGCCAUCCCCGAAGGUUUGCCCGCUGUCAUCACCACAUGUUUGGCUUUGGGAACUCGACGAAUGGCCAAGAAGAACGCUAUUGUCCGAUCUUUGCCCUCGGUGGAGACUCUGGGUUGUACUUCAGUCAUCUGCUCUGACAAGACUGGAACAUUGACCACCAACAUGAUGUCCGUGUGCAAGAUGUUCGCCUUCAAGAGUGAGAGCAACUUUGAGGAGUUCGAGAUUUCUGGCUCCACAUAUGAACCCAUCGGCGAGAUCUUCCAAAGCGGCCGCAAGGUGAAGGGUCAAGACUUUGUGUCCCUCGAGGAACUGAGCACGAUUUCCAUCAUGUGUAACGACUCGGCCAUUGACUUCAACGACUACAAGAACGCCUUUGAAAAGGUGGGAGAAGCCACUGAAACUGCUCUGAUCGUUUUGGCCGAGAAGAUCAACCCCUAUGGCGUGUCCAAAUCCGGAGGUCGUCUCGAUUCGGCCAAGGCUGUUCGAAAGGACAUGGAAAGCAAAUGGAACAAGGAAUUCACCCUGGAGUUCUCCCGAGAUCGCAAGUCCAUGUCCUCAUAUUGCACCCCCAAGAAGCCUACCCGAAUUGGAUCUGGAUCCAAGCUCUUCGUCAAAGGAGCUCCCGAGGGUGUUUUGGACCGUUGCUCACAUUACCGUGUGGGCACUGAGAAGCGAGAAAUGACACGUGAGAUCCGACACAAGAUCAUGGAGCGGGCUGUGGCUUAUGGAACUGGUCGCGACACUCUUCGGUGCUUGGCCCUCGCCACCGGUGAUAACCCGGUUAAUCCCAAGGACAUGGAUAUGGCCGAUGCCACCAAGUUUGUGCGCUAUGAAGUCAACCUCACUUUCGUGGGUGUGGUCGGCAUGUUGGACCCUCCAAGAAUGGAAGUGACUCCGUCUAUUCAACUUUGUCGCGAAGCCGGAAUCCGUGUCAUCAUGAUCACUGGCGAUAACAAGAACACCGCUGAGGCCAUUUGCCGAAGAAUUGGAAUCUUUGGCGAAGACGAGAACACCGAAGGCCUGGCUUUCUCUGGCCGGGAAUUUGAUGCCCUCUCUAUUCCCGAACAACGCAAAGCCGUCUCCAAAGCCAAGAUGUUUGCCCGUGUCGAACCUUUCCACAAGUCCAAGAUUAUCGAGUAUCUCCAAUCCAUGAAAGAGGUGUCCGCCAUGACUGGAGAUGGUGUGAACGACGCUCCCGCUUUGAAGAAGGCCGAAAUCGGCAUCGCCAUGGGAUCUGGAACGGCUGUGGCCAAAUCCGCAUCCGAGAUGGUCUUGGCUGACGACAACUUUGCCUCCAUCGUGGCUGCUGUUGAGGAAGGCCGUGCUAUUUAUAACAACAUGAAACAAUUCAUCCGCUACUUGAUCUCUUCCAACAUCGGUGAGGUCGUCUCCAUUUUCUUGACUGCCGCUCUCGGUCUGCCCGAAGCUCUCAUCCCCGUACAACUUCUCUGGGUCAACCUGGUGACUGAUGGUCUGCCCGCCACGGCUCUGGGUUUCAAUCCCCCGGAUUUGGAUAUCAUGACCAAGCCUCCUCGAUCCUCCGAAGAAACGCUCAUCACUCCCUGGUUGUUCUUCCGUUACAUGGCCAUUGGUCUGUACGUUGGUAUCGCCACCGUGGGUGGAGCUGCGUAUUGGUUCUUGAUGGAUCCCACCGGCCCUCAAAUGUCCUACUAUCAACUUUCACAUUUCAUGCAAUGCACGGUUGAGCCCGAAAAGUUCAAGGGCAUCUCUUGCGACAUUUUCCAAGCCCCCGAGCCCAUGACCAUGGCCCUGUCCAUUCUGGUCACCAUUGAGAUGGCUAACGCAAUCAACUCGUUGUCAGAAAAUCAAUCUCUCAUGGUGAUGCCUCCGUGGAUCAACCCCAUCUUGUUGGCCGCCAUGGCCCUGUCGUUCUCUCUUCACUUCAUGAUCCUCUACGUCGACGUUUUAGCCACCGUGUUCCAAAUCACCCCGCUGUCCUUCGAACAAUGGAUCACUGUGAUGAAGUUCUCUCUUCCCGUCAUACUUCUGGAUGAGUUGUUAAAGUUCGUUGCUCGAAACUACACGGACGUCGAACUUUGGGGGUUGCCUGAGAAACAGAAACAGAAAUUCAGAAAUCACCACUCGGACUAGACUCGGGAGACGAUGCAUUACUGCUACUACUACUACUAUUAUCACUACUUCUACUACCGUGUACUUCUGACACAGCACUGUUUGUGGAAUUGGAUUUGGGCGAGCAUCUCUUUUGACUAUUUGCACUCUGUUUAGACUGAUAACUGCCAUUAUGCCGACUCCUGGCAUUCCUGACUCGAUCAAGAAGAAGCUUUAAGCGAACGGAAUCCUUCUGUAACGAGCUGAACAUUUGGAGUCUGACUCAGAAUCAAGGUUCAAGACCAUCUUCCUCUUACGCUCCUGAGAUUUGGAUUCCUGUCCAGGAACGAUCAAUUCUUCCGAAGAUACAUUCAGAUAUCCGCCUUACGAUCCUACCACCAUCCAAUCACUGUUCUUCAGGGUGUUGACACCCAACACACAACCAGUAAUCCCCCUCCCCCUCCNCCCUCAAGUCUCCCAAGCUUGAAUUUCCCGGCGCCGGCGCCAGUUCGGAUAUUUUCUCUCUCUCCGGACGCCAUCUUGCCUCGACAGCUGACAACAUCCCUCGAUCUUAAAUCAAGUUCAAAGCUAACUCCUUACAUUUUUUCGCUUCGUUGUUUCCCUCUGAUUUUUUGCUCUAGAUUUAAGUUUUCAGUCGAUUUAAGUUCAACAUCCACAGUGAAUCAAUGGAACUGAUAUUGUACAGAAACAAAGAAAAGAUAUUCCGUGCCCCCUCUCAACCAAAUCGUGGUGUUCAAAAAAUCAUCGAAUGCAAUAAACCCCCACGUUGUUUUAACUUGUCCCCGGCUUUCAACCAACCCUUUCCCUAUGGCCUUUGCUCCUUGAAGCUCCAUUUGUCGAUGUAUUAAAUCUGAAAUUACUCGUUUCGCCACCCCAUCCUCGCCCAAGUAUUGCCCAUCUUCAAAAGCUUCCUACCCAUCUUCUUGGCUUGUUAAUCCAUAUCCUCCUGCCCAUCCGGCCUAAUCACCUUUUUCGCCCAAGUCCAUUCACCGCUCUACGAUAUUAGAUGUUCAUUGUUUGUUUUGAAUGUUAUUUCUCUGCAUGGGAUUUCAGCUCAAAUGCGAGAUUGAAAGACGAUCGAGAAACUGAUUUGUACUGUGUUACAAAGCGCGAUAGUCUGCUUUCUUAAUGAAAUAAGAACAGUUUUCGAAGUGAAAA